rnacentral:misc_RNA from 1 species
GCAUUUCCAUCAAAGAAUGCAUAUUCAACUGGGAAGUUGGGGUCAAUAUAAAGACUUAUAAAUGGAUAGAUAUUGAUUGUAAAAGGACAACCAUUGUCGCUUAAGAACUUGACAAGUUGGCUUACAUAGCCAUGGAUCUCAGCUCGAAAAUCACCACCUGAUGGGAAAGUGUUGGAGCUCUCAUAAACAUCUGCAUUGAGAGGACAAGUAACCUUUACUUGACUACCG